AUCUAUGGCCAUACCACUCUGAACACACCCAGUCUCAUCUGAUCUUGGAAGCUAAGCAGCGUCAGACCUGGUUAGUACUUGGAUGGGAGAGAUGAGGAUUGUGGCAACUAUUAGAUG
ensembl:rRNA 5S_rRNA 5S ribosomal RNA